AUUAAUCUCAAUUAAUAAUAAAAGAAAAAGGGGAUAAUUAGGAUUCAUUUUAUGACUCUCCAACUUCUCCUCUCAGACUCAACUCUCCCUCGCGAACGGCGUUGACACUCUCUUUCACCUCCGAUCAAAAUCUCGCCGUUGCACCACCGUCCAAUCGAAACGGAUAACCACACCUACCCCUUUUUCAAUCAUAAUCUCUCUUCAAACUCCUCAAUCAACUGCCUAGUCUCUCUCAGGUAGAAAAGGGGAAAGUAAACCCUAAAUGUUCAUGAGGAGAAAUCAAGGUAAAGUCUCGCCUAAUACGCUAGGUUUCGAGCAAAUCCGGAUUCAUACGAGCAUUAACAAGCACAAAUCAACAACAAAGAGUGCGAUUGACGUCGGGAGCAAAAGGAUUCAGGCUUACCUCUUGGAGGCGGACUCCGGCGAUUCUCGGAUUUGGAGAUGAGGAUAGAACGUAACUCCGAAGUUCAGAUUGGAAGAUUACGAAGAAUCCGUGAAGAUGUUGUUCUUGCUGCGCUGGUGUUAUAGUGAAGAAGAUGAAGAUCCGAUGGAGAUGGAGAUGGAGUCGUUGAAUUGGUGAUGAAGAUUAGUCUGGUUUCUGUUCUUGCAGAAUAAGUGUGGAUUGAUGCUUGUAGAUGAUGAAGAAUGGUGGAGGAGAAGAUGGUGUGUAGAUGAAGAUUGAAGAAGAUGAAUUGGGGUUCUGUUGAAGGUGAUUGAAAAUGGUGAAGAAGCUGAGAAAUUGGAAGAAUCGUGGAGAGCCUUGAAGCUGGGUGAAAGUCCAGUUAUAUAGAGUUUCCAGGUUAGUUACUCUUCUCAAUUUUUCUGUUAUGAUUCAGUUAGAAUUCUGUUAGAGUUUUGUAACUGACUUGGAAGGUUAGUUAUCUGAUUCUAGGUUGUUACAAAUCGGUUAGAGGGAGUUAGGUUUGGUAGUUAGUUCUGGAUGUUGGGAAAUCUGUUAUAACUGUUAUGAGGUGGUUAUGGUUAGCUUUGCACAUUGAAUGAAGGGUGAGUUAACUGAAUGCAGUAACAUGAUAUAAAUUCAUUUUGUUUUCUUUUGUAUGGAGUUCUGAAUGACUUGUAAGCUGCCUGAAUUGCUGAAAUAGAGUGUAUGCAGGGCUGUCUUGAUGCUAUUGGAUGGCUGCUGUAAAUAUAUGUUGCAGGGUACUGCAGUUGAGGAUUUUUCUGAGACAUUUGACUACUGAAGUAUGCAAGGGUGCAGCUCUGUUGUUGGGAGUGAGUUGGAGAUUUACAUGGAGGCAUGAAGAUUUAGGGACAGAAUUAGGAUGAGUUUAUGAUGAUGAUUCUUUCUUUGGUUGUAAUCUUUCCUUUGCGAUUUGUAGCGCCUUUGUAAUAAGUUAGGAUUGUUGUAAUAAAAUUUGGACCUUAUUAGCUUGUAACUUCGAUGUGGGAAUACACUUGGACUUGUAAUGUUAACUCUGAGGUUGACUUUCUGAAUUUGAGUUUUGAAUAAGAAUUAAGAUUAUGAAUAUAGCAUUAUAACUUGAGUUUCAAGGAACUAAUUAUGAAUGAAUCUUGCUAUUUGAUAGAAUCUUCUUGAAAAUACGAAUGAUGUUCGUACGAAUCUUGAUGAAGACCUUUGAAUCAAACUUGUAUACUUUUCAUAGUUCCAUAAUAAUUAGAUCCAAAUUGGACACUCCUGAUUGAAUCUUAAAUUCAUAACAAUUUGUACUUGAAGCAACCUUAAUGUGCAUGAGACCUUAACUUGAUGUAUCAAAAGAUAAACAAACUCAUCAUCAUCCUAUUGCCCAAACCAUGAGUCUUUUUUUAGUCAUUUCUUGUAUCUCAA